rnacentral:rRNA from 1 species
UACGGGGGGAGCAAGCGUUGUUCGGAUUUACUGGGCGUAAAGGGCGCGUAGGCGGCGCAACAAGUCACUUGUGAAAUCUCCGGGCUUAACCCGGAGCGGCCAAGUGAUACUGUCGUGCUAGAGUGCGGAAGGGGCUACUGGAAUUCUCGGUGUAGCGGUGAAAUGCGUAGAUAUCGAGAGGAACACCUGCGGCGAAGGCGGGUAGCUGGGCCGACACUGACGCUGAUGCGCGAAAGCUAGGGUAGCAAACGGG